rnacentral:rRNA from 1 species
AUACGUAGGUGGCAAGCGUUGUCCGGAUUUACUGGGUGUAAAGGGCGUGCAGCCGGAGAGACAAGUCAGAUGUGAAAUCCGCGGGCUCAACCCGCGAACUGCAUUUGAAACUGUUUCCCUUGAGUAUCGGAGAGGUAAUCGGAAUUCCUAGUGUAGCGGUGAAAUGCGUAGAUAUUAGGAAGAACACCAGUGGCGAAGGCGGAUUACUGGACGACAACUGACGGUGAGGCGCGAAAGCGUGGGGAGC